rnacentral:tRNA from 1 species
GCCACCCUAGCUCAAUUGGUAGAGCAAUGGUAUCGUAAACCAUAGGUUGUCGGUUCAAGUCCGACGGGUGGCUCCA